GCGGCAGCCUAAUAAUGCAAGUCGAGCGGACAGAUGGGAGCUUGCUCCCUGAUGUUAGCGGCGGACGGGUGAGUAACACGUGGGUAACCUGCCUGUAAGACUGGGAUAACUCCGGGAAACCGGGGCUAAUACCGGAUGGUUGUCUGAACCGCAUGGUUCAGACAUAAAAGGUGGCUUCGGCUACCACUUACAGAUGGACCCGCGGCGCAUUAGCUAGUUGGUGAGGUAACGGCUCACCAAGGCGACGAUGCGUAGCCGACCUGAGAGGGUGAUCGGCCACACUGGGACUGAGACACGGCCCAGACUCCUACGGGAGGCAGCAGUAGGGAAUCUUCCGCAAUGGACGAAAGUCUGACGGAGCAACGCCGCGUGAGUGAUGAAGGUUUUCGGAUCGUAAAGCUCUGUUGUUAGGGAAGAACAAGUGCCGUUCAAAUAGGGCGGCACCUUGACGGUACCUAACCAGAAAGCCACGGCUAACUACGUGCCAGCAGCCGCGGUAAUACGUAGGUGGCAAGCGUUGUCCGGAAUUAUUGGGCGUAAAGGGCUCGCAGGCGGUUUCUUAAGUCUGAUGUGAAAGCCCCCGGCUCAACCGGGGAGGGUCAUUGGAAACUGGGGAACUUGAGUGCACAAGAGGAGAGUGGAAUUCCACGUGUAGCGGUGAAAUGCGUAUAGAUGUGGAGGAACACCAGUGGCGAAGGCGACUCUCUGGUCUGUAACUGACGCUGAAGAGCGAAAGCGUGGGGGC
rnacentral:rRNA from 1 species